rnacentral:lncRNA from 1 species
CUUAAAUAAAUAUAUACUAGUUCAGUGAUAAUGAACGCCAUACUAAACUCCAAAUUGUACACAAGAAACAAAAAUUAAAAAUAAUUCAAGACUAACAAAAGCCAGAGGCUCCUGACUUGGGACAGGCGCAAAAAUGCGGUGUGGUUAAUGUAUGGGGCGAGGAUUUAGUCCAUGUAUAAAAUCACCAAUUCACCAACAUUCCAACUGACUCCAUUCUCAGAAAACGAAAUCUGUAACACACAUAAACUUUUAGCCACCGCUUUACAAGCAGAGCCAAAUACAAUGACAGUCCCAACUAUGUAUUGGCUUCCGAAGCUACACAA